GCCGGCGUAGCUCAGCAGGUAGUUCAACAGCCUACAGCAGCGGACUGUUAAUCCGUUGGUCGGAUGUUCGAAUCAUCCCGCCGGCG
rnacentral:tRNA from 1 species